ensembl:lncRNA
GUAUGUAGUCUGUGGAUGGAUAACUAUGGUGCUGCAUGGUUAGGAUUUGGGGUCCCCAAGGAGGCUAAGAGUCACCCCUCCCAGAAAUAGGAGGCUGAAGUUCUGUGUCUCCCUGCUCAAAAAGGCCCGGAUGUGGCCCUGGCCUGAGCUGCCAUCUAGCCCUCUUCUCUCUGGGUCUCAGUCAAACCAAACAGACCUCAGCUGAGAAGCCCAAAGCAGAGAGAAAUCUUCUUAAUGAACUGAUUAAGAAGGAGCAACAGAUCCUGUUUGUUCCCAUGGCCUAUCAAGAUCGUCCCUAACACCACUAGCCCCCAGGACCCCUAGGCCUCCCAGGUCUUCAGCGUUGGGCAGAGGCCAAAGUGGCUUCUGCAUUCUCAGGACCCAUCAUGAUAUCAAUUUCUCCUUCAACCCUGGCAACCACAUUUCUACUUGCUGUCUCUAUGAAUUUGUCUGCUCUAGGUACCUCAUAUUUAUAAAAGCACAACAUAUAACAAGGAAAUCAAUCUUCUGUCUAUCAUAUGAAGAUAUGGAGGCUCAAAGAGUUUCAGUCACUUAACCUAACGUCACCCAGUUGGUAAGCAGCAGAAUGGACACUUUGUCUGUUUGGCGCCAAAGCCCAUGAUCCUGCAUUCCACGUGGGCCCUGGGGACGGUGCACUUCGGCAGGGCUGGGAUCAGCGGAGGUGAAUGAGGCAAGCAUGAGGAUUACACAUCUCUGCUCCCCUUGUAGUCCUGAGAGGCCAUGUGACUAGGUCUGACCAAUGGGUGGUGAACAGCGGUGAUCCUGUUAUUUCUGAGCUGAUGCAUUUGAUUGUGGGUCUAAAGGCCUCCACCAUUCUCUCCUGCACACUGACUGAGGAGGCAGCAUGUCCCAGAUGGUAAAGCUACAGGAUGGUGGCAUCUCUGUCUGCCUGGAUUGCUGAGUCACAACAUGGAGGGCAGCUGCUCUAGAAGUGACCCAGACCUGCAGUGGGUAUUGUAUGCAUGGGGAAUCAACUUUGGUUGUGUCAAGUCAUCAAUGUCUUGAUAUGGCUUGUUCCCAAACCAUUCCCUCACCUAGUCUGACUAAUACUAUUGAAAAGCUGAAAUUUUAAAAAAUCUGAUUAAAAGAAAAAACUAUCAAUACUGAAAGUAAAUUACAAAAAUGAGGAAAAAAAUUGUGCUGUUGUCAAAUGCAGAUUAUACAUGGUUUAAUUUUUGGCACGUAAGGUCUAGCGUUCAGAGGAGCAUCCAAGAAACUUUAUGAGCAUAACAUGCUGAUGGGAAUUUUAUCCAUUUGGCAGAAGUCAGAGCAAAAUUUGAUAAUAUUAUGGCAGAACAUUUAUGCAUGAUAUAAAUAUUGACACCAAAUAAUAUUGCACCUAUUUAGGGAAUGAAAUACAAAACCAAAUAAUUAAAAUUGUAGCAGAUGUAAUGAAUAAAAUCAGUGUGAAUAAGGUAAGAAGAGCUAAAUAUUACUCAUUAUUUUGGCUACAAAUCUUGAUGUUGUUGUAUUUGAGACACAACCCCUGAUGAAUACAGAAUAGAUAACAAUUUCUGUUAGACUUGUAGAUUCCAAAAAUGCAAAUGUUUCUAUAUGUAAACAUGUUUUGGGAUUUUUUUCCGGUGAAUGACACAACUAGAGAAGGAUUAUAAACAAUAUUAGCAGACCACUUACAAAAACAAUCAAGAAUAAAGUAAUUUGUGGGAACACAGAUAUCAUAAUACUGCAAAUAUGCAGAGAAAACAC